CCUACGGGAGGCUGCAGUAGGGAAUCUUUCACAAUGGGCGAAAGCCUGAUGGAGCAACGCCGCGUGCAGGAUGAAGGCCUUCGGGUUGUAAACUGCUUUUAUAAGCGAGAAAUAUGAUGGUAACUUAUGAAUAAGGAUCGUCUAACUACGUGCCAGCAGCCGCGGUCAUACGUAGGAUCCGAGCAUUAUCCGGAGUGACUGGGUGUAAAGAGUUGCGUAGGUGGCAUAAUAAGUAGCUAGUGAAAUCUGGUGGCUCAACCAAUCAGACUAUUAGCUAAACUGUUAAGCUCGAGACCGUUAGGGGUAACUGGAAUUUCUAGUGUAGGAGUGAAAUCCGUAGAUAUUAGAAGGAACACCAAUAGCGUAGGCAGGUUGCUGGGACGGUUCUGACACUAAGGCACGAAAGCGUGGGGAGCAAACGGGAUUAGAUACCCGAGUAGUC
rnacentral:rRNA from 1 species